UCGUGAGACAGGUUAGUUUUACCCUACUGAUGAAUGUUGCCGCAAUAGUAAUUGAACUUAGUACGAGAGGAACAGUUCAUUCGGAUAAUUGGUUUUUGCGGCUGUCUGAUCAGGCAUUGCCGCGAAGCUACCAUCCGCUGGAUUAUGGCUGAACGCCUCUAAGUCAGAAUCCAUGCUAGAACGCGGUGAUUUCCUUUUGCCUCGCACAAGAAUAGAUGGAUACGAAUAAGGCGCCCUCGUGGUGUCGCUGAACCAUAGCAGGCCGGCCACGGUGCCCUUGGCGGAAAGGCCUUGGGUGCUUGCCGGCGGAUUGCAAUGUCAUUUUGCGUGAGGAUAAAUCAUUUGCAUACGACUUAGAUGUACAACGGGGUAUUGUAAGCAG
rnacentral:rRNA from 1 species